GCUGCUUACAAUGCAAGUCCAAGAGGUGCUUGCUCCCACUGGCGAACGGGUGAGUAACACGUGAGCAACCUGCCCUUGGCUCUGGGAUAGCCUCCGGAAACGGGGAUUAAUACCGGACAUGACCUUCUCCUGCAUGGGGGAGGGUGGAAAGUUUUUCGGCCAGGGAGGGGCUCGCGGCCUAUCAGCUUGUUGGAGGGGUAACGGCCCACCAAGGCGACGACGGGUAGCCGGCCUGAGAGGGCGACCGGCCACACUGGGACUGAGACACGGCCCACACUCCUACGGGAGGCAGCAGUGGGGAAUAUUGCACAAUGGGGGAAACCCUGAUGCAGCGACGCCGCGUGCGGGAUGAAGGCCUUCGGGUUGUAAACCGCUUUCAGCAGGGGCGAAACCAGACGGUACCUGCAGAAGAAGCGCCGGCUAACUACGUGCCAGCAGCCGCGGUAAUACGUAAGGCGCAAGCGUUGUCCGGAAUUAUUGGGCGUAAAGAGCUCGUAAGCGGCCAGUUGCGUCCGCUGUGAAAACCCGGGGCUUAACCCCGGGCCUGCAGUGGAUACAGGCUGGCUAGAUGCAGGCAGGGGAGAACGGAAUUCCCGGUGUAGCGGUGAAAUGCGCAGAUAUCGGGAGGAUCACCGGUGGCGAAGGCGGUUCUCUGGGCCUGUACUGACGCUGAGGAGCGAAAGCGUGGGGAGCGAACAUGAUUAGAUACCCUGGUAGUCCACGCCGGAAAAGUUGGGCGCUAAGUGUGGAGUCCUUCCACGGGGUCUGUGCCGCAUCUAACGCAUUAAGCGCCCCACCUGUGGAGUACGGCCGCCAAGCUUAAACUCAAAGAAAUUUACAGGGGCCCGCACAAACCGGCGACCAUGGUGCUCAUUCCCACGCAACGCGAAUAACAUUCCAUGG
rnacentral:rRNA from 1 species